rnacentral:rRNA from 1 species
AUGGUUCUUCUCCGGUACGGCGUCACCUACCUCAUCGAGCACCCACCUCCCCCCAACGCCACCUCCCAAUACCUCGAGCUGGAUGCCCACGUUGUCCUGUGGAUCUACGUCACCCUCUCCGACACCAUGUGCGACCAUGUCGUCGGCGCCACAACCACCUUCGCUCUCUGGCACAAAAUCAAGGACUACUUCCUCGCCAACCGCGCCGCCCGCUACAUGAUCCUCAACCGCCAAUACCGCAAUCUCAAGCAGGGCGACCUCUCGAUCUCCGAGUACGCGCGCCGCAUGAAGCAGCUCACCGACGGCCUCGCCGACAUCGACCACGCGGUCACCGAGGUGGAUCUCACCACGCAGUUCCUUCAUGGACUCGAUAAACGGCUUGAAACCAUUCGGGUCGUCCUCAGCGAUCAGACUCUCCCCUUCGACACCGUCCUCUCCAGGGUGGUCUUGGCCGAGGAAUCUCAGGCGCAGCGCGCGGCCGAGGAGAGCGUGUCCGCCUUUGCUAUCCCCGGCUCCAGCACCUCCGGUGGCACCCCCGGCGCGGGUGGUCGCGCUGCUGGUGAUCAUGGUGGUGACCGCUCCUCCGACCGCGUCUCCGAUCGGCUCUAG